rnacentral:miRNA from 1 species
UUGGUAUUACGUGCGGAAAUUGUUACCAUUUUCGGCUCAAAAAUGGUAACAAUUUCCGCACGUAAUACAAA